rnacentral:rRNA from 1 species
AUACGGAGGGGGCUAGCGUUGUUCGGAAUUACUGGGCGUAAAGCGCGCGUAGGCGGAUUGGUCAGUUGGGGGUGAAAUCCCGGGGCUCAACCCCGGAACUGCCUCCAAAACUGCCAGUCUCGAGUCCGGGAGAGGUGAGUGGAAUUCCGAGUGUAGAGGUGAAAUUCGUAGAUAUUCGGAGGAACACCAGUGGCGAAGGCGACUCACUGGCCCGGUACUGACGCUGAGGUGCGAAAGCGUGGGGAGCAAACAGGAUUAGAAACCCCGGUAGUCC